GACGAACGCUGGCGGCGUGCUUAACACAUGCAAGUCGAACGGAGUGGCGAACGGGUGAGUAACACGUGGGUGAUCUGCCUUGCACUUCGGGAUAAGCUUGGGAAACUGGGUCUAAUACCGGAUAGUGCAAGAUGAGCUCGCGGCCUAUCAGCUUGUUGGUGGGGUAAUGGCCUACCAAGGCGUCGACGGGUAGCCGGCCUGGGCGGGUGUACGGCCACAUGGGGACUGAGGGAGGGCGCAGACGCCUACGUGCGGCAGCAGUAGGGAGUAUUGCACAAUGGGCGGGAGCCUGAUGCAGCGGCGCGGCGUGGGUAAUGAAGGCCUGCGGGUUGUGAACUCCUUUGGACAGGGACGCGGUACCUGUAUAAGAAGCACCGGCUAACUACGUGCCAGCAGCCGCGGUAAUUC
rnacentral:rRNA from 1 species